GCGUCGGUGGUUCAGUGGUAGAAUACUCGCCUGCAACGCGGGUGACCCGGGUUCGAUUCCGGCCGACGCA
rnacentral:tRNA from 1 species